AAACUCAGGCCAUCAAAGUCUGGAAUUUUUAUUUUAUUCCAAAUAAAUACAUGCUGAUUACUUUGUGUUUCAGAUAACCAAUUCACAUACCCACUGAUAAGCACUUGAGAUAUAUAUAUAUAUAUAUACAUAUAUAUAUAUAUAUACACACUUUCCAGAUACAUACAUAUAAAUGCAUAUAUGCAUACAUACAUGUUCUGCAAAAUGAUUCUACACAAAUUAUUUUUACCAAAUAAUCACUGUCUUUACAGGAGACAUUUUGUCUUAGGAGAAUGUCAUUGUUCCAAAUCCUCCAAACAUUUCAUUUUUUGCUGGAGUGCGGGUCACCUGUGUGCAAGAAUGCUUAACGAUCAAACAUUCAGGGGCAUGAUGCAAUAUUGGCCUCUCACACCUGUGGGUCUCCUGCAGCUGGGCCUGAGUGGCUAGCUCUGUCCCGGGCACCUCCGACUCUCCUGACCAGUGUGGCUCUGACAGGAGUGUAAGAGAACAGAUGGAGCCCUGAGCUGGGAACUGACACAAAUCAAAAGAAACCAUGUAGCCAAACCCACAGUCAAAAGCCAACAGAAAUACCCCAUGCUUUCAGCUAGAGAAAGCACCAUCUCCCUCAUGGUAAAAGGUGGAAGUGCACUCAGUAAGGAGUCGGGCCAGUGAAACAGCUUGCCCUUGUUUCCCCCAGUGAUGUAGUUUAUGUAUUUUAUAUAAGAGUAACUAUUUUAAGGUUAGCUUUGGCUUUUUUUUAAAUAGCUAAGUUAUGGGUAAAAUUAGAGAAUCAGAGUAGGUUUAUCAUUGAUUGAGCAGAGAGUAACUAUUAAACCACAUCACAUAAAAUAAUUUUAUUUCUAGAAGAAUUUGUUUAAGAAUAUAGUAUUUAGUGGCAUAAUGUUUGAGAUAAAUGGCUUUCUUAGGUGACCACUUUGAGAUGUUUAAGACUCAUUUGAACAUUUGGUUAAAAAAAAAAAAAAUUAAAGGUGUGUACCACCACUGCCUGGCUUUCUAAAAUAUUUUUAAUAAUAAAUUCAAUGUAUUAUAUAGUCUUGUGCUGUCAAAGCAGAAUGGGAGUGAGUAGAGUCUCAUGCUAACCUUUUGUCCAACUCUGGAAAAUAUGCUCUCUCUGCAGAUUCUCAUUGCCAAGUCUCCUCUGGCUGCCUUCACCUCCUUUGUCUACACCAUCAAGGGGGAAGGCCUGGUUCUUCAAGGUAAGGUCCCUCUGCUAAACCAAUGUAAGCGUGUUCUUGUCAGGGCUGCUCACUGCCAGUGGCGAGUGUUGCCUGGGUCCUUUUAGAUGCUAGUGCAGGGCAACUCAAAGCCCAAGGGCAGUUAGCUGAUGGUAUUUAUUUUACCCUGAUAAGAUCAAGAGAUUUGACACUUGUAACAAACAUUUGUCAGGAGGGAGGAAGAGCUACAGGACUUAGUAAGAGAGGAAGGGCUGGCUCUGCGGCUCAGCGGUACAUUCACUUAUAUUACUGCAUUAUAACAAGCAAAACAAAAGGAAAAACAAGCAAAAAAACUGUCCAAAUGGGACAACAGCAGAAAGAAAGAGAGAGAGAGAGAGAGAGAGAGAGAGAGAGAGAGAGAGAGAGAGGAAGGAAGGAAGGAAGAAAGGAAGAAAGGAAGGAAGGAGAGAGAGAAGGAAGGAAAGAAAGAAACAAACAAACAAACAAAUGAGGUUUAAUUCAUAAAGAGAUUCUGUAGGCCAAUAUGAAGUAUGACCAUAAAAUUGAUUUUAAAAGGGUGUGUGUGUGUUUCUACAUAAUGUCAGGUGCCUGUCAUAUUGAAACCUGAGGUUAACAGGUGUCUUCCUCUCCUCCUCUCUGCCUUCUGUUUGAGGUUGGAUCCCUUGCUGAGCUUGGACUUGACCUUUUGGCUAGUGUGGCUAGCCAGCUUGCCUCAGGGAAUCUCCUAUCUGUCUCCUGUAUUGAGAUUGCUGGAGGGCAGUCACACGGCCAGCUUUCCACAGGGAGUCUGGGAUUCUCCUUCCACAGGGGGUCUGGGGUUCUCCUUCCACAGGGGGUCUGGGGUUCUCCUUCCACAGGGGGUCUGGAGUUCUCCUUCCACAGGGGGUCUGGGGUUCUCCUUCCACAGGGGGUCUGGGGUUCUCCUUCCACAGGGGGUCUGGGGUUCUGAACUCUUGUCUCCACACUUUCCCAGCGAGUGUUUUACCUGCAGAGUUGGCUCCUCGGGCCCAAAAUGGGGUUUUAAAUUACUUAAAUUUUGUUUCAAAGAACCAUUUCCUUUAAAGCCAGUCUUUGUCUUAGGAGAAUUUCUGUAACGCUUCCUAUUGUUUGUGAGAACUUGUCUCCACCAAGGUGUGAACUGUGCAAAGUUCUCAAUGCCCACAACCUGCAGGGCUGUGUGGGGAAUCCCUGGACCAUCAUUUCCCUGUGCUGAAGUCCCAAAGACACUUCUUCUAGCUUAGACUCUGUGGUACCAUGGUCCUUGGGUUUGAAAGGAGCCAGGUUCUUGCUCAAGGCAAAGCUCCACUGGACCACAGCCCGGGCUCACUGAUGAGCAGUUCCUCAGCCUAGAUGCUCCGUACCCUGCUUAGGAGAGGCUCUUGACAUUGCCAGGUCUUUCCAGAAAAUACUUAACAUGC
rnacentral:lncRNA from 1 species